CCUACGGGCGGCAGCAGUGGGGAAUAUUGGACAAUGGGCGAAAGCCUGAUCCAGCCAUGCCGCGUGUGUGAAGAAGGCCUUCGGGUUGUAAAGCACUUUCAGUGGGGAAGAAAGCCUUGGGGCUAAUACCCUCGAGGAAGGACAUCACCCACAGAAGAAGCACCGGCUAACUCCGUGCCAGCAGCCGCGGUAAUACGGAGGGUGCGAGCGUUAAUCGGAAUUACUGGGCGUAAAGCGCGCGUAGGCGGUCUGAUAAGCCGGUUGUGAAAGCCCCGGGCUCAACCUGGGAACGGCAUCCGGAACUGUCAGGCUAAAGUGCAGGAGAGGAAGGUAGAAUUCCCGGUGUAGCGGUGAAAUGCGUAGAGAUCGGGAGGAAUACCAGUGGCGAAGGCGGCCUUCUGGACUGACACUGACGCUGAGGUGCGAAAGCGUGGGUAGCAAACAGGAUUAGAUACCCGUGUAGUC
rnacentral:rRNA from 1 species